CUCCCCACACUGUGACUUAUCCAGGUCCAGGAUACGUUCUCCUCGACCCACCAGCCUACAUCCCAGGAGGCUUGGUUCCCGAGCAAUUCCAACUGGAAAACAGCAAGAGCCAGCAGUGCCCAUGGGAAGGUUGCUUGAGUGUCUGAACCUGCCAACACUGGCCAAGUCAAAGUUCUCUCUCUCUCAAGAAAUGCUCACCAUCCAAGCCUGCAGAUGGAGAUGAAUUAGAUUUUAGAAGAUUGAUUGCUGUGUGAACUGAUGGCCAAAACACUCUG